rnacentral:rRNA from 1 species
UACGUAGGGUGCGAGCGUUGUCCGGAAUUACUGGGCGUAAAGAGCUCGUAGGCGGUUUGUCGCGUCUGCCGUGAAAGUCCGGGGCUCAACUCCGGAUCUGCGGUGGGUACGGGCAGACUAGAGUGAUGUAGGGGAGACUGGAAUUCCUGGUGUAGCGGUGAAAUGCGCAGAUAUCAGGAGGAACACCGGUGGCGAAGGCGGGUCUCUGGGCCGAUACUGACGCUGGGGAGCGAAAGCGUGGGGAGCGAACAGG